ACUUGGUUGAUACAUGUCAUCUUAUCCCAAUUGCGUGGAACGAUUCUCAUGAUCGUUAAUCACUGGAUUGUCUAAUCCAGACUCGAUUACUCACAGACCACCGCCAUAUAACUGGAAUAUUGCUGAG